GUCCCUGCAGCGCAAUGGAUAGUGCGUUGGACUUCUAAUCCAAAGGUUUUGGACUCCUUUCCCACCUGGGAUG